GACGAACCGUGCGAACGUUAUUCGGAAUCACUGGGCUUAAAGCGCGUGUAGGCGGGACGGCACGUCGGUCGCUGAAAGCCCCCGGCUCAACCGGGGAACGGGCGCCGAUACGACCGGCCUGGAGGGACGUAGGGGGACCUGGAACUUCCGGUGGAGCGGUGAAAUGCGUUGAGAUCGGAAGGAACGCCCGUGGCGAAAGCGAGGUCCUGGACGUUUUCUGACGCUGAGGUGCGAAAGCGUGGGGAGCAAACAGG
rnacentral:rRNA from 1 species